rnacentral:rRNA from 1 species
CCUUGUACACACCGCCCGUCACACCAUGGGAGUCGUUUGCUCCAGAAGUGCCUGCGCUAACCGCAAGGAAGUAGGGCCCCAAGGAGUGAACGGUAACUGGGGUGA